GAGUUUGAUCCUGGCUCAGAUUGAACGCUGGCGGAAUGCUUUACACAUGCAAGUCGAACGGCAACACGUACUUCUGUCUGGUGGCGAGUGGCUGACGGGUGAUUAACACGUAGGAAUAUACCGUGAAAUCUGGGACAACUUGCUGAAACUCAAGCUAAUACCGGAUAAUCUCUGAGGAGGAAAACUGGGGACCGCAAGGCCUGGCGCUUUAAGAUUAUCCUGCGUCCGAUUAGCUAGUUGGUGGGGUAAAGGCCUACCAAGGCGACGAUCGGUAGCUGGUCUGACAGGAUGAUCUGCCACACUGGGACUGACACACGGCCCACACUCCUACGGGAGGCAGAAUUGGGGAAUAUUGGACAAUGGGGGAAACCCUGAUCCCGCAAUGCCGCGUGUGUGAUUAAGGCCCGAGGGUUGUUUUGCACUUUACGUGGGGAGGAUGGCAGAGCAGGUUAAGAGCUAGUUUUAUUGACGUUACCCGCACAAUAAGCACCGGCUAACUCCGUGCCAGCAGCCGCGGUAAUACGGAGGGUGCAAGCGUUAAUCUGGAAUUACUGGGCGUAAAGAGUGCGUAGGCGGUUAGGUAAGUUAUCUGUGAAAUCCCUGGGCUUAACCUAUGUGGUGAAAGAUAUAACUGCUUGACUAGAGUGUGGUAGAGGAUAGUGGAAUUUCCGGUGUAUGCGUGAAAUGCGUAGAGAUCGGAAGGAACACCAGUGGUCCCCGCGGCUAUCUGUACCGCUCUGACGCUGAGGCACGAAAGCGUGCGGAGCAAAAUAGAUUGGAUACCCUGGUAGUCCACGCCGUAAACUAUGUCAACUUACUGUUCUUACAUUAAAGUGAUUAGU
rnacentral:rRNA from 1 species